UUGGUGUGAUUUACAUGGAGAAUUGUUAUUGGUUUGGAGCAUAAGUUGAGAGGAGAGGUGACCAUAUGGGAUUUCUUCCUAAGUGACUAAAUAGUCAUCAGGAGGAUAUUUCCUCAUUCUGCCGACAUAGAGAGAGAGAGAGAGGGGGAGAGAAAGGGAGGAGGAGGUCUCGGCUAAGGGGAGGGAGGAAGGAGAGGUCCGUUUUCGACGAUCCAACUCGGUGACAAGUAACGAGCCGGUCUUUUAGGAGGUGCCGAAACCGUAAGUUUGGCAUACUCCAGUCGAAUGAAAGGUGAGUAUGUCUGAUAUGGUUCUUCUCAAUAAGAUAUUGCUAUGGUGGUAUGUAUAUAUCUUGCUAAUGGUGUUUUAGCUUUCAAUAUGAUUAUUGAUAUGUAAAUAAUGCAGUGGAGGUGAUUAUAUAUCAAUGAUAUCAUGCUAAUCGAGGUUUAGCUAUUGAUAUGGAUAUAUGUGAUGGAAAUUUGUAUACCAUGCUAUAUGUUGUUUUAGCUAAUGGUAUGCAUGCUUGUUGUAUGUUGAUUGUACCCGCGAAAGGAUUGUGGAGUGAGUCACACCAUAUCGUGGGCCGUGCCGUCUAAUUAACGGUGAAUGGGAGUGUGGUGUGCGGGACACAAUUCCUUGGGUACAUGGGAUGUGGCAGACGUGCCACUGUAUGUUGGUGUUUAUACAUGUGGUUAUACGAUUGAGUACUUAUGUUGAGUUUCGUGUGAUUUACGUUCAUGCCGUUAUUGUUAUGUGGUUGUUUAUUGAAUAAUAUUGCUAUGUUUUGGCGGAUGUGGUGGUUAUAACUAAUGUACUCAUAUGGGUAUUGCAGUUAUGUUGGUGGUGAAUAUUCUUAUUGAUAUUCUUUUGGGUAUUGUGACAUUUUAUUGAGCAUUUCUAUAUCUCACACACUCUGGCUUUCCUUUUUGGACUGCCAGGUAGCAGGUGGCUUAGAGUGGGUCCACUACUGGUCAACGCCUUGGAGAGUGCUGAGACUCGUGUUGGGUGAUGUCCUUGGUUAGAUUGUUGUGUAGCUGAUUCGUCUAGAAGUUAACUACAUGUUUUGUAAUUAAUUGGAGAGAGGGAUAUUUUUUAUAACUUGUGAGUUGAGGUUUUGGCGUUGACUUGGUUGUAUUUUAAGUGAGAAGUCUUCCGCUAAGUUGUAUUCUGAUUGGUUGUAGAGUGUGGUGUGGUCUUUUGUGUGGAACGCCACGUGGCCGCGCCGACUCGGGCCCACUUUGGGUGUCGUUUGCGGGCGGGGCGUGACAGGUUGGUAUCAAAGCUAGUACGUUCUAGUCUCUGUGUUGAGAGUCGAUUGGGAAUGUUGGUAGUGGACCAUAGGUUGUUGUUACUGUCGAGAAGGAGUUAGUGGGUGGCUAUCGUGGGAGUAUUUAAUACUUAGCACUAUGUUUGUUGUUGGUGGUUUGAGUUGUUAAAGCAGGUUAUUGAUAUGGCUCAGUUCAUGGAGCAGCAAAUGGUAAUUCUUCCAUGGCAGAUUGUGCUGGCACUGGCGGUGUCUUAUGUGGGCCGUGUUUUGUGUGUUAGAAGUAAAGGGAUUGGAGGGUUCAUGACGUUAUGGAGAGUAUGUGCUUAUGCAUGUCAAGGAACUCAGACUUUGUCGGAUAUGGUUAUGAGGUAUUUUCAAUAUUGAAUUACGUUGGGUGUAAGUAACAGUAGAUGUUGUGUUAAACUUAUUUACUGUAUUAUCAAUGCAUAAUAUGCACUUGGUUGUAUUGUUAUGUAGUAUGUCAAUCUUGCUAUAUCGUAAGUUAUCGUAAGUUGGCGGUGGGAAGAUUCUUAAGAGUUUGAGAGGUACGCGCUAGAGAUGGUUCAUUUUGAAUUUGGAAGGUUAGUGUCAAAGUUGUGGGUUUUGUGGUGAAUUUUGAAAGAUAUUGAAAAAAAAAAAAAGGGGGUGUGUGUGUGUGUGUAUGGCAGUAGCAUGGCUUCAUUGGUGUGUGAUUGGGUACGUGUAUGAUUUGUGCAUGCUAAGAGGAUGAUACUCACAUAGAGAUAUAUGUAUUGCUAGAAGUUUAAAAUGAUUGUUAUCCGUUCAUGGUGUGGAAAGUGUUAAAUGUGUAAAAACUGAAAACUUUUGGAAUGUGUUAAACGUGUGUAGAGAAUGUUAAACUUUCUAAAUGAAGUGGAUUUAUUGGGUAUGUACACAUCUAGUGUGGUAAUAUUCUGGGCAUAACGCCUAAAGAAAUGUUAAGGGGAUAUGAAUACUUCUGUUUAGUUGAAAAGAUCAAAUACGGUGGAAGUUAAAAAUCUUACAGAUAGUGGUUUCGUGUUGCGUUGAGCUUGGUGUAUUUGGUUAUAACAUUACUUAUGAAAAUUUGAAUAAGUAGUGAGUAUGUAUCUAUAUACUACUUGCAUCUGGUUGUGUAUGCGUACAUGGCUAGUAUGGUAUUAUGGAUGUGGUAUGUGGUAUAUCGUUGAAAAGUUAAAAGCACGUACGGAAGGGUUUCAUAUUCUUUGGAAAAUGUUAGAAACUACAUUUGAUAGUCAUAGAAAAUAAAUUCAUAUUUGGUGUUGGAGAUGACCGAAAUGAAUGUAUAUGUACAUGUGAAACAUAAUGGUUUAGUGUUACGUGAAGAUGGUUUUAUUGGUUCUAUAUGAACUAGUAUGUGAUUGUGGUUAUCUUUGGGGAGAUAAGUAUUGGUGAGUAUUUCUAUGUCUUAUUCCAUGUACAGAUGAGUUGGAAAACUUUAAUGAGUUAGUUGUCAAAUGUAGCGAUAAGGAAUGAGAUGAGAAAAUUGGGGUAUUAGUUGUUGGAGGUGGAGUAGGUAGGGGCGAUAGUGUGUUUAAUGGUUGAAUUUGUGAGUUGGAAAUCGCAUGUUGGGCGAAUGAGAUCAAACAGAAGGGGGAAAUCAGCUACAAACGGUAACUGUGAAUGUCGGGAUGCUACAAGGGUGAGCUAUGGUUGGGAUUGUUCGGUUAACAAGUUGAAAUGAUACAAGUCUGGGGAAAUACAAAUCAGGUCGGGAUUGAAUUGUGUUGAGAGAAUGGGCAAUGCCUAUAAGCAGUUGCAGUGGUCAGAUGGGAAAUGGGAUAACUUCGCAGAAGUGAAACUGGGGCAGAGUGUUGGUGUUAUUGAAAACCAUUCGGAGAGAAUGGAACAGGUAUAACUUUAUUGUUGUUUGAUUUGAUAACAUGUUCAUGCAUUAUGGCUUCGUGUCAAAGUCAGUCCAGUCGACUGGAGUGUCAGUGGUGUUGUGAGGAAAUAGACAAUGUGUCUAUUAAAUCACGACAUGUCUUGCAUAUUGUCAUAUUCGCAUGCCAUCAAUGAUAUAUAUGUUGUGGACUAACCUUGUUUUGAAGGGACAUGUUACAACAGAACUGAGUUUGGAUUUCUGGAACAGAAUUCGAGAGUGGCACUGGGUUGACAAUGAGACGUGGAACAGUGUUGAAAUUUCGGUUGUGAUGGAAUGAUGGAAAGGGCGUUGGGGUUUAUGAGGAAAUGCAUAGAGGAAGUAGAUUAAGUGAAGCAUAGAUGAUUGUUACGGUCAGAUGUGAAAUUUUAAGUGAUAGUUGAGAUACGAUGGUAGUAAGUUUUGUGAUGAGUUGAAGGUUAGGAAGAUUAGGUGGGUUGUUGAUUCGUGUUAGUAUGUGUUGGGAUGGAUCGUAUACUAGUAUAUACAAAUUUCUUGAGGUGUUGUUUGUGUGUGAUGGAUGUACUUGUUUGGUGUACUUAAGUGAUAAAAUGGUUAAUGGACCAUGAUCAUAUAAUAUGCAUAUAAUAUUGUUUCAAGAUCAAUGUUUGUUGGUGUAUCAAGUAGUGUGAUUAUGCUAAUUGAUAGUAUGAGGUUAAAACUUAAUUUUCCUAGAAAGUUUAUACUCAUGUUUUGAGAGUGUGUGGUGGUAUAGGAGUCAUGAGAGUUUAUUAAGUUGGUGCUGAUGUUGAGAUUGCGUUAUAUUGAUUUUAACGAGAGUUUGAGAGUUUUGGUUGGAAUUUACCCUAUUAAAGGAUAAGCUUAUAAAUUUCCUACGGUGGAAUUGUGUGAAAUGAUGAAAGUGGUUUUGGCAUGUAGGUGUGUUGGGUACCGUGUUGUGUGUUAGUUGUUGUUGAGAGAAGUGAUUGAUAGGGCUGGUGCGAAGUAUGAAUUGUCCUUGCUAAGGAAGUUACUGGUGUUGGGAUAUGUGGAGCUUUGACAAGAGUUGGAGAUUUGUUUUUGGUGGUGUUAUUGAGUUUGAGGUUGGGUGUUGUGUGGUUGCUGAGUAAUUUUGAGUGUAUGCAUGUUUGAGAUUAUUUUCUUUGAGGUGAGAUUUCGGUAGAGGUUGGAUUUAUUCUUUUUGAAGUUUGGUUUUUGUUUACAUGUGGAUGAGUUGUGUAAGUUGGUGAAGGUGUUUGUUUUGGGGAUGGUGUUGGUAACUCUGUGAGGUUGGUUUUUGUUGACUUUGUGGCGGGUAUUAUUUCGGGGACGAAAUAUUCCAAGUGGGGGAGAGUUGUAACACCCGUCCCAGGAUAUUUAGGGUUUCGAUUUAAUUUUGAGGUUUAGGGUUUAAUUUGUAUUUGUUGGAUUCUAUGAGGGGCUUUGGUGUGAUUUACAUGGAGAAUUGUUAUUGGUUUGGAGCAUAAGUUGAGAGGAGAGGUGACCAUAUGGGAUUUCUUCCUAAGUGACUAAAUAGUCAUCAGGAGGAUAUUUCCUCAUUCUGCCGACAUAGAGAGAGAGAGAGAGGGGGAGAGAAAGGGAGGAGGAGGUCUCGGCUAAGGGGAGGGAGGAAGGAGAGGUCCGUUUUCGACGAUCCAACUCGGUGACAAGUAACGAGCCGGUCUUUUAGGAGGUGCCGAAACCGUAAGUUUGGCAUACUCCAGUCGAAUGAAAGGUGAGUAUGUCUGAUAUGGUUCUUCUCAAUAAGAUAUUGCUAUGGUGGUAUGUAUAUAUCUUGCUAAUGGUGUUUUAGCUUUCAAUAUGAUUAUUGAUAUGUAAAUAAUGCAGUGGAGGUGAUUAUAUAUCAAUGAUAUCAUGCUAAUCGAGGUUUAGCUAUUGAUAUGGAUAUAUGUGAUGGAAAUUUGUAUACCAUGCUAUAUGUUGUUUUAGCUAAUGGUAUGCAUGCUUGUUGUAUGUUGAUUGUACCCGCGAAAGGAUUGUGGAGUGAGUCACACCAUAUCGUGGGCCGUGCCGUCUAAUUAACGGUGAAUGGGAGUGUGGUGUGCGGGACACAAUUCCUUGGGUACAUGGGAUGUGGCAGACGUGCCACUGUAUGUUGGUGUUUAUACAUGUGGUUAUACGAUUGAGUACUUAUGUUGAGUUUCGUGUGAUUUACGUUCAUGCCGUUAUUGUUAUGUGGUUGUUUAUUGAAUAAUAUUGCUAUGUUUUGGCGGAUGUGGUGGUUAUAACUAAUGUACUCAUAUGGGUAUUGCAGUUAUGUUGGUGGUGAAUAUUCUUAUUGAUAUUCUUUUGGGUAUUGUGACAUUUUAUUGAGCAUUUCUAUAUCUCACACACUCUGGCUUUCCUUUUUGGACUGCCAGGUAGCAGGUGGCUUAGAGUGGGUCCACUACUGGUCAACGCCUUGGAGAGUGCUGAGACUCGUGUGGGGUGAUGUCCUUGGUUAGAUUGUUGUGUAGCUGAUUCGUCUAGAAGUUAACUACAUGUUUUGUAAUUAAUUGGAGAGAGGGAUAUUUUUUAUAACUUGUGAGUUGAGGUUUUGGCGUUGACUUGGUUGUAUUUUAAGUGAGAAGUCUUCCGCUAAGUUGUAUUCUGAUUGGUUGUAGAGUGUGGUGUGGUCUUUUGUGUGGAACGCCACGUGGCCGCGCCGACUCGGGCCCACUUUGGGUGUCGUUUGCGGGCGGGGCGUGACGUCCUUGGUUAGAUUGUUGUGUAGCUGAUUCGUCUAGAAGUUAACUACAUGUUUUGUAAUUAAUUGGAGAGAGGGAUAUUUUUUAUAACUUGUGAGUUGAGGUUUUGGCGUUGACUUGGUUGUAUUUUAAGUGAGAAGUCUUCCGCUAAGUUGUAUUC